UACUGCGGUGAAUACGUUCCCGGGUCUUGUACACACCGCCCGUCAAACCACGAAAGUCGCCAACACCCGAAGUUCGAAUUUACUUCGACCUAAGGUGGGGGAGAUGAUUGGGGUU
rnacentral:rRNA from 1 species